GAUGAACGCUAGCGACAGGCCUAACACAUGCAAGUCGAGGGGCAGCACGAAGUAAGCUUGCUUACUUUGGUGGCGACCGGCGCACGGGUGCGUAACAGGUGUGCAAUCUGUCCAUAAUCGGGGAAUAGCCCAGCGAAAGUUGGAUUAAUGCUCCAUGUGAGUUUUAGAGGCAUCUCUUUAAUUUGAAACGUAAGGAUUAUGGUGAGCACGCUUCUGAUUAGGUAGUUGGUGAGGUAACGGCUCACCAAGCCGACGAUCAGUAGGGGUUCUGAGAGGAAGGUCCCCCACAUUGGAACUGAGACACGGUCCAAACUCCUACGGGAGGCAGCAGUGAGGAAUAUUGGUCAAUGGACGGAAGUCUGAACCAGCCAAGUCGCGUGAAGGAUGAAGGUUCUAUGGAUUGUAAACUUCUUUUGUCUGAGGGUAAAAAAGCGGAUGUGUCCGUUCUUGCAAGUAUCAGACGAAUAAGCAUCGGCUAACUCCGUGCCAGCAGCCGCCGUAAAAC
rnacentral:rRNA from 1 species